rnacentral:rRNA from 1 species
UACGUAGGGUGCAAGCGUUAAUCGGAAUUACUGGGCGUAAAGCGUGCGCAGGCGGUUUUGUAAGGCUGUCGUGAAAGCCCCGGGCUCAACCUGGGAAUUGCAUUCGAGACUGAAUAGCUAGGGUGCGGUAGAGGGAAGCGGAAUUUCCGGUGUAGCGGUGAAAUGCGUAGAUAUCGGAAGGAACAUCAGUGGCGAAAGCGGCUUCCUGGACCAGCACCGACGUUCAGGCACGAAAGCGUGGGGAGCAAACAGG